UACGUAGGGGGCUAGCGUUGUCCGGAAUCAUUGGGCGUAAAGAGCGUGUAGGCGGUCCGGUAAGUCCGCUGUGAAAGUCCAGGGCUCAACCCUGGAAUGCCGGUGGAAACUGUCGGGCUAGAGUCCGGAAGAGGCGAGUGGAAUUCCUGGUGUAGCGGUGAAAUGCGCAGAUAUCAGGAGGAACACCAAUGGCGAAGGCAGCUCGCUGGGACGGUACUGACGCUGAGACGCGAAAGCGUGGGGAGCAAACAGG
rnacentral:rRNA from 1 species